rnacentral:rRNA from 1 species
AACGAACGCUGGCGGCAGGCCUAACACAUGCAAGUCGAGCGAGGACUUCGGUCCUAGCGGCGGACGGGUGAGUAACGCGUGGGAACGUGCCCUUUGCUUCGGAAUAGCCCUGGGAAACUGGGAGUAAUACCGGAUGAGCCCUUUGGGGGAACGAUUUAUCGGCGAAGGAUCGGCCCGCGUUGGAUUAGGUAGUUGGUGGGGUAAUGGCCUACCAAGCCGACGAUCCAUAGCUGGUUGGGGAGGAUGAUCAGCCACACUGGGAAUGAGACACGGCCCAGACUCCUACGGGAGGCAGCAGUGGGGAAUCUUAGACAAGGGGGGAAACCCUGAUCUAGCCAUGCCGCGUGAGCGAUGAAGGCCUUAGGGUUGUAAAGCUCUUUCAGCUGGGAAGAUAAUGACGGUACCAGCAGAAGAAGCCCCGGCUAACUCCGUG